GCCUGGGUGGCUCAGUCGGUUGAGCGUCUGACUUCAGCUCAGGUCAUGAUUUCGCGGUCCGUGAGUUCGAGCCCCGCUUCCGGCU
rfam:Felis catus isolate Cinnamon breed Abyssinian chromosome A2, whole genome shotgun sequence.